rnacentral:rRNA from 1 species
UACAGAGACUGCAAGCGUUAUUCGGAUUCACUGGGCGUAAAGGGUGCGCAGGCGGCCGUAUGUGUGAGGCGUGAAAGCCCGGGGCUUAACCCCGGAAUUGCACCUCAAACUAUACGGCUAGAGCAUUGGAGAGGGUAGCAGAAUUCAUGGUGUAGCAGUGAAAUGCGUAGAUAUCAUGAGGAAUACCAGAGGCGAAGGCGAGUCACUGGACAGUACCUGACACUGAGGCACGAAAGCUAGGGUAGCAAACGGG